AUGUCCAGGGACAAGCAGCCCCGAUCCCCCCCUUCCCCCACCCACUCGGAUCUAUCCCUGCAUAGCAACGAGGAGUGGGAGCCGACCCAGGAGGGGGAUACGACCGACCAGGCAUGCAGUGACCAGCCGCGGUCGUCAAGGGUCAUGAGAAGACUAAGAAAAAGCCUAGUAGAAAGGCAAGAAGCCAGCCAGAGGAGCAGUCGGAGGAGGAAGCCUCUGGUGAAGAUGCAGGACCGAAAAAGCCGCGUGGACCCAGAUACACUGAGGCGGAAAACUGUGCUCUAGUGGAUGGCGUCGACAGGUCCUACGACGUUCUGUAUGGACCAAGGGCACAGACCACAGCAGCUAGGACAAAGCGAAACAUCUUGGAUGCCAUCGCGAGCCAAGUCACUGCAGUAUCUGGAAACCGCCGGAGCAACAGAAACUGCAUGAAGCGGUACAGUGAUUGCCGCAGACAGAUCAAAAAGAAGAUGGGGAUUCAGCGCCGACAUGAGACCGCUACGGGAGGUGGACCGGCUCUCAAUCUGAAGUGGCUACCCUGGGAGAAUGUUAUUAGAAGGCGCAUGAACCCUGCCAUGGUCGAAGGAGUUCGCGGAGGUGUGGACUCUAGCCGUCCUGCUGGCUUUCCCGAGGAGGAAGAACCGCCCAGAAGACGGAAGAAGGCGGGAGAUAAGCAGUCCAAAAGGAGGCCUGAUGACAGGCCUGCCCAGAGGACAUCACCUGCGCGCAGGACAUCGCCAGCGCGCGGACCGACACCUGCGCAGCAAGCAUCAGGAGCGCGCAGAUCUUCACCUGUGCGCCACAGAUCGUCAUCGCACAGUUUGUCACCUGUGCACCAGACGACGUCGGCGCGCAGACUAUCACCUGUGCGCCAGACAUCAGCGCACAGAACUUCACCUGUGCGCCAUACACCGUCGGCGACCACACCACAAGAUGGGCGCCAAACUACAGCUCAUGCGCGCAGGUCAUCACCAGAUCGUCGUAUCUCCAGGAGCUCUGGGACUGUGACUGAAGAGCCUCAAGACACAACCCUUGUGGACCCAUCACCCGAUCUGUUUGAGUCUACAGGGUUAACAGACGAGACUUUUCUUGGGUUUGAGGACAGCCGUGCAGACGUAUCCAGCCAGACCCUUGAAAAGUCUUCAGAUACG